CUGGAGCACGGGGAAUGGAGAUUGUACCCCCAAACGGUGAACCUCUUAUGGCAGAUUUUUGGAGAAGCAAGAGUGGACUUAUUCGCAUCGAGCAUGAAUACGCAUUGCCCGCUGUCGUUCUCCCUAUGCCCUCCAUCGCCCCUGGGCUUGGAUGCGUUUGCUCAUAAUUGGCCCAGAACCAGUUUUUAUUCUUUUCCCCCAAUUCGUUUAAAUCCAGCGGUAUUAUCCAGGAUACGGCUGGACAGAGUGGAACAGCUGAUGCUGGUGGCUCCGCAGCUUUACGUGGCAGCCAUUUCAGCUAACCACGUAUAUAUAGAUGGUGCCUCAGUGGACCGUCAUCCGCUGGUUUCUCGUUUUAUGCAGGGUGCGCGAUGGCUGAGGCCUUUCAAUCUAUGUCUUUGCCCUGUCAGAGCACUGAAGACUUAUAUUGAUCGAACAGCCCCAUGGCGUGAGUCUGACCAGCUGUUUGUCUAUUUUGGACAAAAGAAUAAAGGCCAUGCUGUCACAAAACAGCGCAUGUCCCAUUGGCUGGUGGAAGCAAUAUCUUUAGCCUAUGAGGUGCGUGGACUCGCUUCGCCCUUAGGAAUUAGAGCUCAUUCCACGAGAGCAGUUGCUUCUUCACAAGCUUUUCUCAGUGGAUCUUCUAUGGAUGAUAUCUGUGCUGCGGCAGGAUGGU